GACGAACGCUGGCGGCGUGCUUAACACAUGCAAGUCGAACGGUAAGGCCCCAGCUUGCUGGGGUACACGAGUGGCGAACGGGUGAGUAACACGUGGGUGACCUGCCCCGCACUUCGGGAUAAGCCUGGGAAACUGGGUCUAAUACCGGAUAGGACCGCACCGUGAGGGUGUGGUGGAAAGUUUUUCGGUGUGGGAUGGGCCCGCGGCCUAUCAGCUUGUUGGUGGGGUAAUGGCCUACCAAGGCGGCGACGGGUAGCCGGCCUGAGAGGGUGGACGGCCACAUUGGGACUGAGACACGGCCCAGACUCCUACGGGAGGCAGCAGUGGGGAAUAUUGCACAAUGGGCGGAAGCCUGAUGCAGCGACGCCGCGUGGGGGAUGACGGCCUUCGGGUUGUAAACUCCUUUCACCAUCGACGAAGGUUUUCUGACGGUAGAUGGAGAAGAAGCACCGACUAACUACGUG
rnacentral:rRNA from 1 species